rnacentral:lncRNA from 1 species
UGGAGAAAGAUGAUACCGCUUGAUGAACAAUCCUCAUCAGAUGUUCAAGAAAACUAUGAUAACAGUAUUCUCGAACAAGCAAAAGUAAAUCUAAGGUUUGGAAAUUCUUUAUGAAGAAAAUUUAGAAGAUUGAUUUCAAAGUGAUGCGUGUGAGCCUGGCUUCCAGUAUUUGACUGAUGUAGACAUCGUUAUGUUGUUAAAUCAAAUAGUGAUGAUAGUAACUGAUGCCAAAGAUGUAGUAAAUGAAUGAAAUACAAUUUCUCAUUCUGCUGCUCUGUGGAAUCUUUAUUAGAUAAUAUGGGAGGAUUUAAUUACGGUGACAUUACUGCGGUUCGUAAAAUAUGUGUAUCGAUAUAUGGCGAAGACGCAUUACACAUUUUUUAAAAAGGAAAAUUCCUAGUUUGAUGUUAUGCAUGCAAAUGUCAGUAAUUUUUUUAUAUUUUGUACUGAUAUUGAAUUUUUCUUUAAUAAAAGGAGUUUUUGGAUUAUCCGUGUUUUUCGAUUGUCCGUGCGACCUAUCCCGGUGAUUAACCCGGAUAAUCGGGAGUGCACUGUAGUUUUGUUAUAUGGCAUGUAUUUCUGACACAAUGCAAAAUUACAAUUUACUACAUUAAUCUUAAAUCAUAUUAAGGUAACUCUUUGUGAAACAAAUGGAAUAAAAAGGUUUGGUAAUAACAAUUUGCUUUUUUAGCUUAUGUACUGUUUUUAUUCACUUAUUUAUAGGUGGCUGACCUUUUUUUUAUGCAUAUCACCCAUCAUUAUUUGAUUAGAAAAUUGACUAAGGAUUAAGAAAGAUUUAGGAAUACUGGAUGUUAAAAAUUUUCACAUUAUUUGGUUGCAAUUUUAAACUACAUUUUUUAAAACUACAUUCACUUCCAUUUUAGGAUAUUGGUAAAUCUGCAAAUUAUUUAAAUUUUUUAUAAAAAUAUUUAUACAAAGUGUAUAUAAAGUUUUGACCUUGCAUUUUUUCCUCCAUCUCAAAAAACGUUUUAAAUAAUGUAUUUUAUUUGUUGGGGCAUAAAUUUAAAGUUUCUGAAGAAUAACUAUAGUACUAAUUAAAAAUUUAGAUUAGUCAUAACCCAUAAUCUGCAUAGGUUAGAGAGACCAGACAAACAGGUAAGAGAGACAAGUUAGCUUAGAGGAAAUCAAUAAGAAAAAAUAGAGUUUUUCACUUUAUAUCACUCAUAUUAUAAAAAGUGAUAAAGUUUUGUUACAAAUCUAGACAAUUAUAUUGAUUUUGAAAGAAAUGUGAUGGGAGUUAAGAAAAAAAAUAUUCCAUUUUAUGUUUAUGAGGAAUAUUAUACUUUUCCUAAUUGUCUAGUUAAUUACUCAUAAAUGGCUUCUGUGCUAAAGUUGUAAUAAUUAAAAGAUUUAUGUAAGUUAUAGUCAAUAAUUUGCUGUUGGUGGAUUUUUGACCAGUUACAAAAAAUUAAAUCAAUUCUCAAAAUUUCUAACUGUUAAUGAAGUCAAAUGAUUAAGUAAUACAUAUUAUCCCCCUGUUUUUUACUUUCAACAAUGAUAUUCAGCACAAUUUCCUCUCUUUUCAACAGUGAUAAAGUUUUGCCCAUGAUUUGAAAAGAUCAAGUGAAAAAAUGUGCUUUAAACAUCAGUUCUAAUAUGUUGUUUUCAUUUCCUCAUUUGUAAUAUAUUGUUCAUUUAUUGUAAAAUAUCUGCUUGUACUAUCUUGUUAUGCAUUAAAGUGUUUUACAGAAU